CAGACCUAGUUUUUAUUUGCAGGAAAAAAUCCUCCUUACUACUUGGUGUUGUUUAAAGUGGACAGGACUGUAGCACCUACAAAGGCUAGCUAUAUCAUAGAAAAGGCUGAUAUCUUGGAAGUUGGAUCAGUCUGUCAUGUAUAGGAUAAAAGUGGAAUAUAUGAGGGAAUUGUGGUCACAUAUGGUAGUAAAGAUGAAGUUGAUAAUGUGGAAGAGCUUUAUUUAAAUGGGUUGUAUACUCCCGAUUUUCUGGUUGGUCUGUGUGAUGACAGUGAUGAUGAUGAUCAGGACAAUGACAAUAAGGAGAAUGAAGAACCUGAUAGGGAUUUCAUAGAAAAGGAAGAUGUCUCUAGAAAAA